UCAGCCCAUCCCCAGGAGGAACCUGGUCCUUGGGGAGCCUGGGAAGGACUUCUUCCCACUGGGGAAGGGCCGUCCUUCUGGCUUGUCCGGGGAGACGGCUCCUCCCCAGACUUCUUUAAAAAACCACCCCCGGAAGAAGGCCCUGACCGCGAUGGGCCGGCCUCUGCUGAAGCCCUUACCAUCAUCCUGGCAUCCGCCAGAGGCUCAGCAGAGGCCCGACCUGUUGCCAGCGCUAUCUAUCCGAGCGCUGAGGCUCCCCAAGGCAGAGCCAGCCCCUUCCUCCUGGGGGACUCCGCCGCUCCCCUCCGGCUCUGUGGCCCAUCCACCGCCACCACGCUCCUGCCCGAAGACACGCCCUGGGGGAGAGAGACCACCACCUGCUCCUCCCCUGGGGUCGUGUCUUAUGGUGCGAGGCCUCCGCGCACGGCCUGAUCCUCCGGUGCCGGGCAGCAGCGGUGGAAGGGUCCCACCAAACACACCCUGCGCGCUGCUGGAGGGGGCCUUCCACUAGGUCUCUCCAACUCUCCCUGCCAUGGUGAAGGGGCCUGGCCAAAGAAUGAAGCCUCAUCGGCUGUGGUUGAAGUUCCGUCGCUCCCCUGGAGGAACUGGAGACGUAUCCAAGGGACUUGGACAUUGGCCUGGUCUCUCCCAAGAGACUCUCCAGCAAGAUCUCCAGUGACUCUCUGGCAGAAGACCCGACUGCUGCUGGAAGGUGGGACAGUUUAUGGGUGACCCCCGCCCACAAAGCAAUGGGACAUAUCAGACUGUGGAUCUUCCCAAGGCUCUGAGUGUUGUGAUUCUAGCAUUUCGUUCUGAGCGUCAUCAAUGGCACCGUUGGUGAAGAGAAGUCCUAAGGAACUGUGGCUCACAUCAGGACAAGAAGAAGAGGAGAGAUGUAGCACAGCCCCAGCGUCUGGAUGGUCAGCUCUGGCAAGGGGUCAAGCCUCUGCUGAGCUGAUGGCAGCUUCCAAGAUCAUCGGGGUCAGGGUCUUCUUCCUCGGGAUGGUAUUUGAAGAGGACUGGAGAGGAACCUUCUCCCUGGAAGGAUGGUCCUGCGCCUGUGGGAAGAAGCCCCACCCAGGCUUCCUAACAUGUGAUAGACCUGGAUUAAGUUAGCAGGGCAGGGCGGGGUCAGAGUUCUAAUCUUUGGACCUUGCUAUGCCUGUGGCACCCUUGCUGAACUCUCUUUGCUACUCCGCUUAGCUACUCCGCUUAGGGGCAGUUCCGUGCCCCCUUGAUCCCCUUCCCCAGCCAUGACCCAUUCAAACUUGCCUGGCUUCAAAGCCUUGUAAAUAAAUGGAGAGGACAUUUUCCUAGCUGCCAAGAUGAAGGAGAACUGGUCCAAAUGGCGAUCCAAGUUGAGGUGCUUCCUGGCAACUUGACCAAAUGCUAAUCCCGUUCUGGAAGCUUCAGAGUGAAGCUAAUCUGCUUCACUCAUCAUAACUGAUUGCCACCUGCCAUGAGAUGUGGCCGUCCCAUCGGGGUCAGGGUCUCCUUCCUCUGGAUGGAUGGCUGUUGAAGAAGCCCGGGGAGGAGCUGGCUCCCUGGACAGGCCAGGAGGACGGUCCUGCCCCACUGGGAAGAAGUCCCGCCCAGGCUCCCCGAGGUCCAGGCUCCUCCUGGGGAUGGGCUCUAAUAUCUUGGCGCGAUCCACCGCAGCCUCCAGCCUCCUUCCCAGGCAGGGAAGGGGAGACUCAUGAAGAAGGCAUGAAGAAAGGAAAGGAAAGUUAUUCCGAGUGGUUUCUCAGCUUUAUAUGCUGCCAAAAUUCACAUCUCCAGGAGGUUUACAUGAUAAAAGGAAUCUCUAGGUGGUUUGCAUAGACGCUUUGCAUUCUUACUUGGACAAAAGCAGGCCUCAGAAUUUCAGAACUGCAAAUGUUAAGUAUGUUUACCAUGAAAGAUGGUGGCGGGUGGGAGGUGGGGGGAGACACACCGCUUGUGGCUGCCCAGGACUAGCUCUUCUUGGGAAUAGCUGGGCCCUCAAGCAAAGAGGUGGGUUCCGGUGAGGCCUGCUUGGUACUGGCCCCAGGCACCAGGGCAGGCGGCAGCAGCAGCCUCUGGACCACCAUGUGGUUGCUGGAGGUGAUGUGCCAGAUCUUCUCCCAGAUCUCUCUUCCUGCGCUCCUGAUAGGAAAAAUAAGUUGUUUUUAUUGUUCAUACCUGUAUAUGCUGCCAAAAUUCACAUUGCAAGGUGGUUUACUUUUCCCCUUCGAAUUUGUUUGGAUUAAGAGCAAAUAAUAUGCAACCCUUUCUUUCAUUUGUUGUAAUUCUGGUGUAGAACUGUAUUUUCCCUCUCCCCCCACCUUGGCUAAUGCAAUAGAUUUAUGUUUUUGACUGAAGACAAAUUCUUCUAUUUGAAUUUGUGAGAAAAUAAAA